rnacentral:lncRNA from 1 species
CAAGCCAAUUUACCUACACUAUAGACAGUUCAGGAAAUACACAGCAAUUCCAAUAAAUCCUAUACCAAGAUCCUUCGUCACAGUCUCGCGAUCUCCGACCGUAGAUGCCUCUAGUCUGCUAGACCUCUUGAUCUACUUUUUGUAGUCUCCUGCUACCGUAAAUACUUCUAACCUCCUGCUAGACUUCCUUAUCUACCUCCUGUAGCCCAAUCUGCUGUCUCUUGGUCUCACGCUAAAUAUCUGUCUAAGUGGAACACCAAGAACCGCCUCUUCUUAUAUUUAUAACUGCGCUUCAAUCCACCUCUCUCAGUCCCCCAAUGAAAGAAUUUCUUCCUCAACAGAUUAAGGAAGCACGGUGUUUUGGAUUAAGAAUCUUGAUGUUUUCCCAAAGCGUGGUUGAAUGAUCUCAAGAAAGGAUGAAAUGAAUUCUCCAAUUGAAUGAGUUCUUGGAUCUCUAGAGAAUGAUAUGAAAGUGAAAUAUAACGAUCAACCACACUUUUGGACGUCCCAUAGGUUGUAUAUUUAUAAGGGAAAGUGUUUGAGAUGAAAAGGGACUGAAAAACUAAGUGUUUGAAGCAAAAUGGAAUUCUAGUCGUCAACCUAUUGCUCGAGCGAGGAGCUAGCGAUAGCAAAGUAGUCGUCAAUGUUUUCAUCAUAACUUUUUCUCCUGAUGUCCAAUUGAAGUUAUUCAAAAUGAGUUGGAAAUCUAAUUCAAAGGGCUACAAUUCAUCUAGAUAUAGCCUUAUCCAAAUUUCAAUGUUGUUUUGUGUAAAAAAUGCAUUGUAAGUUGUGAUUGAGAAUUUGGAACAUAACUUGUGUGACUUUUUGAUAUCCUUUGGACUUCUAAUUGCAUUCCAAUGAUCAUAUAUGAUCUUCUUGGAUAUCUUGGAUUCUUUCAAGGACUAUACUACCAACUUUAAAAGAUUUUAUGACUUUUACAACUCUUUUACAUUAAUCCAUUUAUUUAAAGAAUUGUCAAUACACUAGAAACCUAACAAAUUGCUAAUAAGUAGAGAAUGUCGGCAAACACUGAAGGGGUUCCCUUCUAACCUCUCAUAUCAAUUCACAUCAUAAAAGCUUACAAAAAAGAGGGCCAAUUCAUCAUAUUACGGAUGGAAGAACGAAAUGUCAAUAACUUGAGGAAUUAAAGCUUGAGAGUGAAUAUCAAGAACAAGAAUAAAAUAUUGAUUGCCAAUCAUCCUUCUUGUAAUUAUAAAUUUCCUUGAUGAUUUUCUAAUCAUUUUGUUGUUAAAUCGUUGGAAACACGAGGCUAGAUUUUUGUGUUAGUUGAAGAUAAAACUUAUUAUUGAUUAUUUUUAAUUCAUAGAACAAGCCGUUUAAUUUAUUUGUGUUCUUGAUCGUUGAAUUAUUUUAUUUUUCCAAUUUAAUUACUAUUUUGGCCUUUUUAAAAUUGAAGAGACAAUUUUACUCUCGCCUAUUUUGGUUAAAAUGAUCAUAAUUCAAUUUUGGUGGUCAAUUAACAACAGAAGAGAUGAUUUCCAUCCAUUUGGGGCCUCACCUACAACGGUUG